AUUGAACGCUGGCGGCAUGCCUUACACAUGCAAGUCGAACGGUAACGGGCCUGCGGGUGCCGACGAGUGGCGAACGGGCGAGUAAUACAUCGGAACGUGCCCGAUCGUUGGGGGUAACAAGGCGAAAGCUUUGCUAAUUCCGAUUACGACCUAAGGAUGAAAGAAGGGGACGGAAAGGCCUUCCCCGGGCGGAGGGGCCGAUGGCGGAUUAGUUAGUUGGGGGGUUAAAGGCUUACCAAGCCGACGAUCGGUAGCUGGCCUGAGAGGAUGAUCAGCCACACUGGGACUGAGAAACGGCCCAGACUCCUACGGGAGGCAGCAGUGGGGAAUUUUGGACAAUGGGCGCAAGCCUGAUCCAGCAAGGCCGCGUGCAGGAUGAAGGCCUUCGGGUUGUAAACUGCUUUUGUACGGAACGAAAAGCCUUCUUUUAAUACAGGAGGGUCAUGAGGGUACCGUAAGAAUAGGCACCGGCUAACUACGUG
rnacentral:rRNA from 1 species